rnacentral:rRNA from 1 species
GACGAACGCUGGCGGCGUGCCUAAUACAUGCAAGUUGAGCGAUGAAGCUUGGUGCUUGCACCAAUUUGAAGAGCAGCGAACGGGUGAGUAACGCGUGGGGAAUCUGCCUUUGAGCGGGGGACAACAUUUGGCAACGAAUGCUAAUACCGCAUAACAACUUUAAACAUAAGUUUUAAGUUUGAAAGAUGCAAUUGCAUCACUCAAAGAUGAUCCCGCGUUGUAUUAGCUAGUUGGUGAGGUAAAGGCUCACCAAGGCGAUGAUACAUAGCCGACCUGAGAGGGUGAUCGGCCACAUUGGGACUGAGACACGGCCCAAACUCCUACGGGAGGCAGCAGUAGGGAAUCUUCGGCAAUGGACGAAAGUCUGACCGAGCAACGCCGCGUGAGUGAAGAAGGUUUUCGGAUCGUAAAACUCUGUUGGUAGAGAAGAACGUUGGUGAGAGUGGAAAGCUCAUCAAGUGACGGUAACUACCCAGAAAGGGACGGCUAACUACGUG